rnacentral:rRNA from 1 species
CACGGUCCAGACUCCUACGGGAGGCAGCAGUGGGGAAUAUUGCACAAUGGGCGCAAGCCUGAUGCAGCCAUGCCGCGUGUGUGAAGAAGGCCAUCGGGUUGUAAAGUACUUUCAGCGGGGAGGAAGGGAGUAAAGUUAAUACCUUUGCUCAUUGACGUUACCCGCAGAAGAAGCACCGGCUAACUCCGUGCCAGCAGGCGCGGUAAUACGGAGGGUGCAAGCGUUAAUCGGAAUUACUGGGCGUAAAGCGCACGCAGGCGGUUUGUUAAGUCAGAUGUGAAAUCCCCGGGCUCAACCUGGGAACUGCAUCUGAUACUGGCAAGCUUGAGUCUCGUAGAGGGGGGUAGAAUUCCAGGUGUAGCGGUGAAAUGCGUAGAGAUCUGGAGGAAUACCGGUGGCGAAGGCGGCCCCCUGGACGAAGACUGACGCUCAGGUGCGAAAGCGUGGGGAGCAAACAGGAUUAGAUACCCUGGUAGUCCACGCCGUAAACGAUGUCGACUUGGAGGUUGUGCCCUUGAGGCGUGGCUUCCGGAGCUAACGCGUUAAGUCGACCGCCUGGGGAGUACGGCCGCAAGGUUAAAACUCAAAUGAAUUGACGGGGGCCCGCACAAGCGGUGGAGCAUGUGGUUUAAUUCGAUGCAACGCGAAGAACCUUACCUGGUCUUGACUUCCACGGAGGUUUUCAGAGAUGAGAAUGUGCCUUCGGGAACCGUGAGACAGGUGCUGCAUGGCUGUCGUCAGCUCGUGUUGUGAAAUGUUGGGUUAAGUCCCGCAACGAGCGCAACCCUUAUCCUUUGUUGCCAGCGGUCCGGCCGGGAACUCAAAGGAGACUGCCAGUGAUAAACUGGAGGAAGGUGGGGAUGACGUCAAGUCAUCAUGGCCCUUACGACCAGGGCUACACACGUGCUACAAUGGCGCAUACAAAGAGAAGCGACCUCGCGAGAGCAAGCGGACCUCAUAAAGAGCGUCGUAGUCCGGAUUGGAGUCUGCAACUCGACUCCAUGAAGUCGGAAUCGCUAGUAAUCGUGGAUCAGAAUGCCACGGUGAAUACGUUCCCGGGCCUUGUACACACCGCCCGUCACACCAUGGGAGUGGGUUGCAAAAGAAGUAGGUAGCUUAACCUUCGGGAGGGCGCUUACCACUUUGUGAUUCAUGACUGGGGUGAAGUCGUAACAAGGUAACCGUAGGGGAACCUGCGGUUG